rnacentral:rRNA from 1 species
UGGCGGACGGGUGAGUAACGCGUGGGUAACCUGCCUCAUACAGGGGGAUAACGGUUAGAAAUGACUGCUAAUACCGCAUAAGCGCACAGUACCGCAUGGUACAGUGUGAAAAACUCCGGUGGUAUGAGAUGGACCCGCGUCUGAUUAGCUAGUUGGUGGGGUAACGGCCCACCAAGGCGACGAUCAGUAACCGACCUGAGAGGGUGACCGGCCACAUUGGGACUGAGACACGGCCCAG